GCGCGGCUCCAGCGACUCGAAGGAGUUGAUGAGGAUGCCGCGGGCUUCCGGCAUCCGGGCAGCCACGCCGAUGAUGCCCUUGCACGCCUCGCCGUCGUCCGCCAGCCCCUGCGCCAGGUCCGCAACCGUGAACGGAGGAGCGCCCGGGAACGACAGGACGGCGGAGUUCCCGAGCGCCGCGAAGCUGGUGCCCACUCUGGCGCGCAUGGCGGGGAGGCCGAGGAAGCAGGCGAGGCCGGCGGUGCCCGAGGGGAAGAAGAAGUAGGCGGGCAGGCCAAGCUCGGCGGCGACGUCGAGCGCGUCGGCGCAGAACAUGUCGAGGACGAUCGCCUGGACGCAGCGACGACGACGACGACGACGACGACAGCGCGCGAAGGAAGUCGCGGAGCGGCGCAUUCGUGGCGCGGAGGAAGCGGAGCAUCCGGGCCAAGGGGACAUCAGGCUCGGCGUCGUCGGAGGCCGCCGGCGGCGGCGGUGGCGGGGGAAGCACGUGCAAGGCGACGGAGGCGUUGGAGGCCUUGGCGCGCGCGACCGUGGAGGCGAAGCCGUUGGCGUAGACGGGCGGCUCGAAGACCGCGAUGGCGACGUCGACCUGGUCUCCACCGUGGCGGAGGAACGCCUUGGCCAGCUCGAGCAUCGGCGCGAGGUGGCCGACGCCGACGCCCGGAUACAGCACCACCGUCUUCUUCUCCAUGGCUCGCCCGGCUAACGACGUACUCAACUGCUAGCUGGGCACCAGCGGCACUGCCCGGCCGCGUCUUUCUGGAAAGUUGCUGCUAGCCACUAGAGUAAUCUUGUUGCUCGAGUGCUAUCCUGCUUUUGACGGGUGACUGUGAUUACAGCGAGCAGUGGGGGAUGAAACAGAAGCGGAGUGCGACCCAGUCAUUCUUGAUUCCUUGUGACAAUGACUGUGUCAAGAAGCAGCGAGUUGCCCAUUGUGGUGGUUUGGAAGCUCUAAAGGUUGGACCAAGAUACACUAUCUUUCCAUCCUUAGCGUCAUCAUUUAAUAAGUGAUUCAUGAGUUUCAACUCUUAGUUUGGUUCUUUGCAGGAGUUAGAUGAUAAUGUAGCUUCCAUGAAACAAUGCAUCAAUCACCAUGGUGGGUCAGAGGCUGUGGAGGUUUGGUUAUGCCUUAACAAGUCAAAUCUGGAACCGUUUCUUUAUUUUUCUUUUUUUUCCCUUUUGAACUUCUCAUUAUGUUCUUUUCAGCAGGAAUCUUUUGAGGGGGAACAAUGAUCUAGAUCAUCUGAAACUUCUGAACAGGAGUAUUUUAAUUUCUCUUUAGCCUUAUGUAUAAUUUAGUGUUUACUUGUCUUCUUGGCAUUGCGUGAUAGACUGGUGCCUGAUUUUGUUAGGCAUUUUUUGUUUUAUUAUUCCUUUAAUCGAUCUCUACAAUUUUGUUUUUCUUGCUUGUUUGUCCAAUAAGGCAGGUAUACAUCUACACUAACUACAAUUGUUACCAAAGUUACAAGACAAAUGAUGGGCAUUUGUAGAUCAGUUGUGUUUCUCAACUUUUCUACAUAGCAUUUGUUAAAAUCAAAUAUAUGUUCCCAAAUGAAAUACUGUAAUUUUCAUAUAGACUUUUUUGUUAGUGGGGUAGGUUUGUUUUUUAGUUUUAUGAUUUUUUUUAGUUUUAUAAUUUUUUUCUAAUGUCACCGUAGCGUUAGCACGGGUAAUAUACUAGUCUAUCAUCUGUGUGAUUUCUUGGAAGCCAAAAUUGUGAUUUCUUCGAAGACUUGGUGCCACUGCCAGGUACGGGAGCACUGGAGCUUUUAUGGCCUGCUGCCCUAUGAGCUGUGUUUCACAUGAUAUUAUUCGCAAAAGUCUAUAAUGAACUUCAUAUAUAUAUAAAUUGGUGAUUCAAUAUGAAGCACAGUCACUGUAUCGCUGGACAGUGGCCCGGCGAUUGCAGCGGCUGCACAGGUCAUGGUGGCGGAGGGAGGAACAGAUGAGGUUCAGCUGAUACAGUGACUGUGCUGAUGCAGGCGAGAGCUCCUCAUGUUCUAUAUGUUUAAGCAACACCUCUGUGUCGUUGAUCAGGGGCCAUGUUUAGCCGGUGCUGUAGCAAGGUCCUCGGUGAGUUGGAGCUGUAGUAGUAGUGAGUUCAUGUUGCCAGGUAGAAGUUUUAGCCUAAGACCGUAGUUGGUUUGCUGUGGAUGGAAAUGGACAGGCAGAUGUAUGAGCCUGUGUUUGUUGUGGGUCUGUACCGGUAGUGUGGACGUUGGUGUCGUGUCAAGAAACCACAGCAGGCUGGAUGCCUCAGCUGUCACUGUUGUAUGGGUCAUGUUCGUCCUAGUUAAUGAAAUGAUGUUGCUUGGGUGUCAUCUCUACUAUAAUUGAAAUCUUCUCCAGACAAAUCCCACCAACAAGAUCAACGACUCACAACAUAUGUCAUACAGAUUAGACGGCCCAGAUUAGAAGUAUGAUCACGACCUUACAUCACAUCUCUACUCUUUGGAGGACCGCGUCGGGCUGGCCUCAAGCGCUAAUUCUCCCCGCGAUCCGGCUCACCGUAGUUCUUCCCGGCCAAGAAGCGGAGGCCCUCGUCGCGCAAGGACGAGUCGCCGCGACCCGAGACGCAGCAUGAGAGCCCCGGCGGCGCCAAGGGGUCCCUAGAGGGCUACCUCGCCCGUUCGCUUUCCACCCGUGCCGCGGCGGCGGCAUCGGUGCUCCCCGUGAGGUCGCCCAGCGGCGGGGACCCGGGCGCCAGGCGGAGCCUCUCGGCCGCAAUGGAUGUCGAUGUCGGUUCCUCGGCUCCGGUGGUGGCGGUGGUAGGUGACGGGGCAGACUUUGAUCUCAAGAGGAGCACGGCGGACUUCUUGUCCCAUUCUUGGCCCGACGCAGUAGACCGGCGGCGUGGGGCGGUCCGGCACGCACAGCCCGUCCCUGAGCGCCCACAUCGCGCGCGGCUCCAGCGACUCGAAGGAGUUGAUGAGGAUGCCGCGGGCUUCCGGCAUCCGGGCAGCCACGCCGAUGAUGCCCUUGCACGCCUCGCCGUCGUCCGCCAGCCCCUGCGCCAGGUCCGCAACCGUGAACGGAGGAGCGCCCGGGAACGACAGGACGGCGGAGUUCCCGAGCGCCGCGAAGCUGGUGCCCACUCUGGCGCGCAUGGCGGGGAGGCCGAGGAAGCAGGCGAGGCCGGCGGUGCCCGAGGGGAAGAAGAAGUAGGCG
rnacentral:lncRNA from 1 species